rnacentral:tRNA from 10 species
GCCGCUUUAGUCCACUCAGCCAUCUCUCC